rnacentral:lncRNA from 10 species
CAGAUCGGUUAAAUAAGUUAUGGUACAUUCAGUGAAAUACUACUAUGCAGCCUUUAAAGAGAACAAGGGAGAUCUUUACACAUUCAAAUUAACAAAUUCGAGAGUGUGAAGGACCUUCUACAGCAAAGUGUUAAUCAUGGGUGUCCCUGGGUUGGGGAGGGGACAAAUUUGCUUACAUAUUUUACAAUAAUAUAUUCCAAAUAAAAGGAUUAUUUCCAUAUUUGAAAAAAUAAGACAUCUGCAAGGCACUGACAGGACUUUGGUGACUGAACAUGAGAGCAGGUGAGAUGGAGCAAGGGAGCCGCUGAGGACACCAGGGUCUCUGGCUGGAGCGCCUCCGGGCAUGGCCAGCCAUACAGGAAGAGAGGGGGUGCUGGGGGAGAGCCUGAACUUGGUUUGGGAUGGAGAUGGCGAUAUUGAGGGUCCCUGGGUGCCAUGGUGGGGGCUUUGUGUAGCUGGCAGACAAAAUAAGGACAUUAGGCCCUUUGGAGCACAGGCUACUGAACAAAAAAAAUUUGAUGAGGAAAAACCUCCUAACAUUGCCCAAGCCCCACAGGUCCUGCUGCCAGGGGGGCUUUCUGAAAGAUGAUGGUGUAGCAACUCAAGUGCUGGGUUAAAAGAGCCUGUAGGGGUGAGUCAGGGAUUGGCAGGAAUUGAGCUUCCCACAUCGCUGGCUUCUGCAGCAACUGUGUGCCUAGCAGUGGCUGUCCUUGCCUGUCUUUUAGCUCAGGGGCAGUCACCAAUAUCAGGCCACCUUACUCCUGGUUGUAUUUGCAAUAAAUCUUUUAUUUUCCCCUCCUGUAGCUGUGGCCAGUGUAGGGAGUGGCACUGAUAGAAGAGAUACAGCUGCUGCCACGGAGGCCCAACAUCUGAGUUCAGAAUCUAAAGAAAAAACAUCAGCACAAAAAUCAGGGCACCCUUUUGGAAUCUUGAAAGCAGACUUUACCAUCUCAACUCUGAUGGACCCAGAAGAGAUGAAAGACCAAUUUCUGAGACAGGUGAGACUUCUGCACACUCUUCUAAUUCUGAUCAGAUGAUUGGACAUUGCAAGACAAUCUUAUAAAAACCAAUAUAUUAAGGUGGAAAACCUGUGGAAUAUGACCUCAUCUUGUUCCACUGCCAUCACUUUGGCUCAUGGUGACAAGUUGGUUAUGUGGCAAGAUCUUUUUGGAUCUUUUCUUACCCUCUCCAAUGUCUUUCCUAAGUUUUUUUUUUUGUUGUUUUUUUGUUUUUUUGUUUUUUUUUGGUCAAGACAGCACGGUCAGAGGGAUCUGAGCGUGGGUCUUAGUUUUGCCCUUAUCCAUUGUGUAGCUUUGGGCAAGUAACUUAGUCUUUCUGAGCCUCAGUUUCCUCCUGAAAUAAGAAUGAUAAUAAUAAUGCCUAACUCACAUGGUUGGUGUUAUGAUUAAAUGAUAUAUUCCAUAUAAAGUGCUUAGCAAAUAAUCUGACACAUAGUUGGUGCUCAAUAAACAUUAGCUAUUAUUUUUGAGUCAGGGUCUUGCUUUGUCCACCUUGGCUGGAGUGCAAUGGUGUGAUUAUAGCUCACUGCAACCUCCAAUUCUUGGGCUCAAGCAAUACUCCUGCCUCAGCCUCCCAAAGGGCUGGGAUUAUAAGCGUGAGCCACUACGCCUGGCCAGCUAUUAUUAUUAUCAACAUUAUCACUGUAGUGUUCUGAAUAUACAUUUGUUCCAGACUUUAUUUUUUUUGGUUCUUAAAAACUACUGUGCCAUGGGAGACUGUGGAGGAAGAAUUGUUCCUAAAUACUGAGAGAAAAGCUUCAAGCCGAUUUUUGAACAUAGUCUAAGGACACAUUUCUCAAUUAUAUCAGAUAAUAACCACAGAAUGUCAGUGCUAGAGAGUACCCUAUACACCAUUUAGCCACAAUCUUAAUUUUACAGACAAGGAAACAUUGGCAUUUACCUGUUAGUUCAUUGCAAUUUAUUCAUAGGCCAAACAAAUAUCACCCUGGGAAUUCAUUCUAGAAUUUCACAAAAUCAAGUUUCUAGAAAGACCAGUAAUAUGUGUGUGUGAGUAUAUAAUGUAUAUGUGUUUACUAUAAAUUUUACUGAUAUAAAGAAU